rnacentral:rRNA from 1 species
AGAGUUUGAUCCUGGCUCAGGACGAACGCUGGCGGCGCGCCUAACACAUGCAAGUCGAACGGGACCAUUUUAGAGUUACUUUGGAAUGGUUUAGUGGCGACGGGUGAGUACACGUGAGCAACCUGCCUUUCAGAGGGGAUAACAGUUGGAAACGACUGCUAAUACCGCAUAACGUUGUAAAAGGGCAUCCAUUUACAACCAAAAGAGAAAUCUGCUGAAAGAUGGGCUCGCGGCCGAUUAGAUAGUAGGCGGGGUAACGGCCCACCUAGUCAACGAUCGGUAGCCGGACUGAGAGGUUGAACGGCCACAUUGGGACUGAGACACGGCCCAGACUCCUACGGGAGGCAGCAGUGGGGGAUAUUGCACAAUGGGCGAAAGCCUGAUGCAGCGACGCCGCGUGAGGGAGGACGGUCUUCGGAUUGUAAACCUCUGUCUUUGGGGAAGAAUAGAGACGGUACCCAAAGAGGAAGCUCCGGCUAACUACGUG